rnacentral:rRNA from 1 species
CCUACGGGAGGCAGCAGUGGGGAAUAUUGGUCAAUGGGCGCAAGCCUGACCCAGCAACGCCGCGUGAAGGAAGAAGGCUUUAUGGUUGUAAACUUCUUUUUAGAGGGGAGAGAAGAAGACGGUGCCUCUUAAAUCAGCCACGGCUAACUACGUGCCAGCAGCCGCGGUAAUACGUAGGUGGCAAGCGUUGUCCGGAUUUACUGGGUGUAAAGGGCGUGCAGCCGGGCUGACAAGUCAGAUGUGAAAUCCCGCGGCUCAACCGCGGACCUGCAUUUGAAACUGUCAGUCUUGAGUACCGUAGAGGUCAUCGGAAUUCCUUGUGUAGCGGUGAAAUGCGUAGAUAUAAGGAAGAACACCAGUGGCGAAGGCGGAUGACUGGACGGCAACUGACGGUGAGGCGCGAAAGCGUGGGGAGCAAACAGGAUUAGAUACCCCAGUAGUC